rnacentral:rRNA from 1 species
CCAGACUCCUACGGGAGGCAGCAGUGAGGAAUAUUGGUCAAUGGUCGCGAGACUGAACCAGCCAAGUAGCGUGCAGGAUGACGGCCCUAUGGGUUGUAAACUGCUUUUAUGCGGGGAUAAAAUGCGUCACGUGUGAUGUUUUGUAGGUACCGCAUGAAUAAGGACCGGCUAACUCCGUGCCAGCAGCCGCGGUAAUACGGAGGAUGCGAGCGUUAUCCGGAUUUAUUGGGUUUAAAGGGUGCGCAGGCGGAUUUUUAAGUCAGCGGUCAAAUCGUGGGGCUCAACCCCAUCCAGCCGUUGAAACUGGGGAUCUAGAGUGUGCGAGAGGUAUGCGGAAUGCGUGGUGUAGCGGUGAAAUGCAUAGAUAUCACGCAGAACCCCGAUUGCGAAGGCAGCAUACCGGUGCACAACUGACGCUCAGGCACGAAAGCGUGGGUAUCGAACAGGAUUAGAUACCCCAGUA